UGUGUGAUCUAAUGUUUCAGGCGCAGUUCCUUUCAUUCAUCAUCAUUUAUGGAAGAUUGCUGUUGAAACCGUCUUGCAAAUAUCCAAAAUUAAUCAGCUUUUUCUUCGUACCACAAAAUUUUUUCAUGCUACUGCUGUUCGCAGAUUUUUAUAGGAGAGCCUAUUUUUCGAAAAAGAAGAACUGAACAUCGAAAUGAAAUCCCUCACAAAUCUCCGAUGGAAGAAAACUUCGUUUUAGAAGUCGAUAGAUGUAAUUUCACUCAGCGUUGUGUUGUUGUAUGUUGCCACAGUCAUAAAUGAAUUACCAUAUUAAUUCAACUUGCUCUGAUCUGAUAUCUUUUGGACUCUCAGCUGAUGCGGUGGUGUACAAUAAAACAUUUCCUAGUGACGAAAAGUUUUUGAAAUACAAAAAAUUUCAUGACA